CUUUGUUCCACACUUGUGAUGUCUGCUUUUAUGAACAAUUUGCUCCACACACUCAUACCUAUCUAACCAAUGUUCAUAGAUAAAAAGAAGCAUAGACUGUCUCAGAGAUACUCCCUGCACCUCUUCUUGCUCUCGCCUUUUACUGAUCUGGAAGUCAGAGUGAAGCAGAAACCACUAUGAUACAAGGGACACUGUAAUCAUCAACCAUGUUUCCAGUUACUCUGAAACCAGGACUCCUUCUUAACAAAGAGAGAGAGAGAGAGAGAGAGAGAGAAAUGAAGAUUGAAUAGUAAAAUAUACAGCUACAAAGCUAAAAAAGGUAGUUUAACAUCACAUGGUUUAUUUAAAAGGUAUGUCUACCUACUGCCCUCUUUCCUCUCCAUAAUUUUAUAUAAUUGAGUAACGUAUCUUCUAUUACAUUGAAUGUUGUUGAGGUUUUCUUCUUUUUUUCUUGAGAUUUUGUGUAUAAAUGACAAAUUUGGGGCAAUCUGUCUUUUUUAUUGUUAU
rnacentral:lncRNA from 1 species